rfam:Kluyvera intestini strain GT-16 tig00000000, whole genome shotgun sequence.
CUUACCGGAGGUUUUAUGGACCCUGAUCCCGCACCUCUCCCGCGACGGAGACACUCUUUCCGGUAAGCCCGCCUUUGCUGCCUUACCGGAAACGUAAGGCAGCGACGCAAA